AGGAGCCGGGCUCCUGCCCACGGGAGAAACAGAAGCUGUAAGAAAAAGCCAGGAGCUCACUGACCCAGGAUCUGGGCUCCCAGACCUCCCUCCCACCAGCUGGACGAGCUUCUGCAAGUCGCCACCCGGCCCCAGGCCUCAUUUCUCCGUCGCCCCAGGACCUGGCAGGUGAUAGAUCAGAAUAAGCAGAAACAAGGAGGCAGCCUGCUGGCAGAAGCCCACAGUCUAGGAGCAGCUGGGACUCAGCCCCCUAAGAGCCACGGCAUCUAAGGGAGACCCAGGGUCCCGACAAACCGCCAGGAGCCUCUUCCAUCAAACAGGGCUGGUGACAUCAGGCCCCUCGCAGGCACACAGCACAUGGUCCCUCUAUCUGGGAAGGCGGACAGUGCCUGGGUCCGUGCCGCUGCGGGAAGGAGGAAAGAGCUUGUGCACAUCUCCGGGAGCCCCGGGCGCUGGGGUCAGCACGAGGCUUGGUGGGGACACAGCAUGAGCCACGAGAGACAGCAGGAUGCCUGGCCCAGCCCUCGGAGCCCUGGUUGAUUUUCAGAACUUCAU